UAACUGUUUAAUCCUCUUUUUUUCAUUUUCAUGCUUAAAGGAAUGUUAAUGCUUAUGUUUUACUAUUUAUAAAAUAAACAUAUAACAGCUGGCUUCUUAAGGGGGCUUGCUGUUGAUUUUUUUUUGUUGGAUUAGAUGGCUGCCAGUAUGCAUAGCAUCUUGAGUGUCUUGUUGAUGUUCUGGAUAAAGCAAUUGACGAAAUAUCUGUAAACUAUGUUCUGUUUAACAAAAAAAAAUCAUUAUCCACUUCACUCUUCUUACCUUAUAUGACAUACAGGACUAUCAUUGGUCUAGGUUAAAGCAGUUGUUGUGAUCAGGCAGAGAGAAUUUGAGAGCAUCAACAAAAAUCCUUAUCCACUGCACUUUAUAAAUGUUUUUUCAGUGGCUGUUUGAUAUAGAUGUUUCAUUCGUUGCAUCAGAACAUAUGAUUCUAGGAGCAAAUUAUCUUCGCUGAUCUGUUUUAGUGAGAUGCCUGAUUAGCUGCACAAGCAUACAUGGUUCUGUUAAUAAUUUGUUUGCCCUGAUCAUCUUGAUAUUCAGUUAUGUUGGUAUGGUCAGAAAACAAGCUUCAAAAGUAAUUAUGAUGACCGUUUGCAUGGUGGGUCUUGUAAGCAAUAUGCUUUGCGUAUUCAUGAUUCAACCAUUUGUUGGAUGUUUUAGUUUACAUGUUCGGGCUAGAGCAACUGACGCAUGGGCCAGUCUUGCGCGUAGGCCAGCCUCGAACCGACAUGUGUGUGUGCUUCUGUCCGGGUGAAAGCAGGGGCAAAUCGAUCAUGGGUUGUCAAGUGUGUGGGUGGAUUCGCGCAGGCGGGUGGGUGGAUUCAAGCCGUCUACUCACACCAUGCUCGCUUCCACCUAGCUGCGACUCUUCCUCGUCAAAGAGCCUUGGGCCCAUUCGUCGGUCUCUUGGGUACAUGCGCCUGGUGAGGUCCUUCGUUUACCUGCCUGUCUCUCUCCCUUUACCCUCGUCACCACCAAUCCCUUUCGUCCUCGAGCCCUGCCUCCCCAUCCAGUUCCCAUUCGCCGCUCUCCUCGCUCCCAUCCACGGCGAGCGGGACAGUCGUGAGAGAAUAUCAGUGGGGGCGCGCGUAGAGCCUGAGAGCCGGCGGAAGCAGGGGCUGGGUGUUGGCGGCCGAUGGGGGUCUGGCGGGCGUGGCGGGUGUGGCAGCAGCUGGAAGGGCAGCAACGGCGCGUCGACCAGACCAGCAGCGACCCCGAUGGAGGGGAAGGGACCGGCAGAUGCAUACAUGCAGGAGAGGCUUGGGGGCCUCAUGGAUUGGGAUGGCGGUCGCCCGAGUUUCUUCGCUUGAUCUGGAGAGGGCCAUGGCAGUGCACGCGAGGGGCGGAGGCGAGCGACCCUCUGGAGCCGCACACAUCGACAGGGAGAAGCUCGAGCCGCAGCGGGUCCAUGGCGCCAUCGCCGUCACGGCAGGAGGAGCGUGGGCCGCAGAGACGUCCGGAUCUGUCCAGCCCUCACGACGCCGUCUGACCACCCUAGAGAGUUCAGAGGAAAGCAGGCCAACAUUUUUGCUGCAACAUCUUUGCUGCACUGGACCAGCUCUACAUCCGUGGUGGCGGGCACGGCCUCCGCUGCCGGGUGCACGAUGAGGUGCUCGAGGGGUAGGGCUGCUUGCGGCGCAGGUGCCUGUCGUGUGUCCCAGCGGGGCACCCGAGGCAACUGCAACUGGCCGGCGAGUUUGGCUGAUUUCAACAUGUCAAGAAGAAGACCAUGGCUACCGGAGGACCGCCAGGUCCUGCAUCAUCAACUAACAGCCAACUCCAAACGAUUACUCAGUUGCAGAAUAUCCCAACAAAAGGCAGAAUUCCUUGUAGGAUAAAUAAAACUGCAUCUGAUGCUGACAAGUCUAGGAAUUCCAUAGGCCGAGUAUCGUUGCAGGGUAUAUGCGAACAACAAAAUCUAUGCCACAACUCUUUUCAGUACAUCUAUGGUACCACUCAAAGGUGUCCUCAUUUCGGGAUAGUAAGUCCGAUGACAAGAGAUUCUACAUAUUUUCUCCCACAAAGGCACUUAAGUUGAAGACACAUUCAAAAGAUGACCGUGUCUCUGUGGUCGAGGCCUUGGUCUUGGUCAGGAGUGUUUAUUCGCUCAGGUCGCUUAGUGGAACAAUAACUUUGGUGCAGAGUGACAUUUCUAUUUUGACUGCAAGGAAUCAAAAUCGGAUGCACCAAGAGGCUUUAAACGUGAGUCUUAUACAGGAUUGAGAAUAGAUUAUGCUUUCGGAGUUUUCAUGCUACUGAAAGCAACUGAAGCUACGCUAUGAGGAUCAUCUAAGCUUGUUUGGAUCUAGUAGAUACCAUUUUUGAGCGAGUUUUUCUGAAGAUGUGUCAAUGUUCAGCCUGGAGAAUGUUCAUGUAAAGGCCAGUACACAAGCAUGUCUACUUUGCCAUAUGGAUGGUGGAUUUACAGGACAAAUUUAUGCACCAGCUUUGAAUUCCAUGACGUUGCACGGACUAUGUGGAACCCACUGAUUCAUAGUGAUGUAUUUUCUUCGAGAAAGAGAGGAUUGUGCAAUCAGAAGUACAAUAUGUGAUCAUCAAGUGUAAGAGAUGGCAAGAAUAUGUGUCUCAGGUACCUCUUUUUUCAUUUGUAUGUCUAAGGUAAGAAUGAGAGAUUAGAUAAAAAAACAGGAAAGUGCUUACUUUGUUCAGUGGAUGCAUUCCGUCACUGUCCAUCAACAAGUUCAACUCCGGCUAUGGUUCAGCGAUGUGGGCCGAUGCACCACGUCAGGAACGUCAAUGGCCUGACAGGCCAUUUUCCAACUGGGCCUGUUGUAAAUGACGAGACCAUGAGGAUGCAGACAGUAAUGUUGCUCCUGGUAUAGUUAUUUAGUGAAGUUAUAAGCUUCUCCUUUUGGAGUUUACUUCUACGAGUGAUCAGUCCCUGCAUCUUGUUCUAUUUUUCAGAAAAUGAAUAUGUACUUUGCCGUGCCACUAAUCUCAGCAAAAUAGUAGAUCAUGAUGCCCCUCGUGCUACAGUCAAAUUGAAUCACAAAAAUUCUACAUAUUCAUAAAACACCGAAGGAGGUUAGUUUUUACCUGAGCGGCAACGGCGACUGCCGUGGGCUUGCUGGAGCCUCCCUAGCCAUGGAAAGUCACCAGCUUCAGGGAGUGCCAGGCUGCCAGAAGAGACGCCAUCUUCGGCAGGGAGUGACAACAGCAACCGUGAGGAUUUGGCUCGCUGAUACGAGUGACAUCGGCGCCAUCUGCAGAUUCCGCAGCUCCGAGCUGUAGCGGGAGCUGCCAGGCUGCCCAGAUGCAGUGGGAGCCGCAGUGCCUUCGAGCUGCAGCAUGAUCCGCUCCCCCGUGAAGCUGCAGCGUGAUCCACCGCGAAGAUGGAGCCCAGCGUGAAUCGCCUUCACCAGGUGUUUUCUCCAGUACAGUGGGGAGAGGAAGAGGAUGAACUGAUCGAUGGAAUCAAGGCUAACAGUCCACCACGUGGUUAUCUCUGGCGUUAUAUGUGCAACCCGUGUGUAUAGGUGUCAACCCGUGUGUAUAGGUGUCCAGACUCCAGAGUGUGUGGUUCUUUCUCACAAUGUCACGGUUGUAUUUUUAUCUUUGGUGCUAAUUUGUACUUUAUGUAACUGGUAUAAUCUGUAUUGUUUCAUCAAAUUUAUUCCCACUUAUCUU